UUUCCGUAGGUGAACCUGCGGAAGGAUCAUUAUCGAGUUUUGACUGGGUUGUAGCUGGCCUUCCGAGGCAUGUGCACGCCCUGCUCAUCCACUCUACACCUGUGCACUUACUGUGGGUAUCAGAUCGUGAAGCGUGCUCUUUUACCGGAGCUUGUGAAGCGUGUCUGUGCCUACGUUUAUCACAAACACUAUAAGUAUCAGAAUGUGUAUUACGAUGUAACACAUCUAUAUACAACUUUCAGCAACGGAUCUCUUGGCUCUC
rnacentral:misc_RNA from 1 species